rnacentral:rRNA from 1 species
AGACAGCAGUCGCCGCGGUAAUACGGAGGGUGCAAGCGUUAAUCGGAAUUACUGGGCGUAAAGCGCACGCAGGCGGUCUGACAAGUCAGAUGUGAAAUCCCCGGGCUUAACCUGGGAACUGCAUUUGAAACUGUCAGGCUGGAGUCUUGUAGAGGGGGGUGGAAUUCCAGGUGUAGCGGUGAAAUGCGUAGAGAUCUGGAGGAAUACCGGUGGCGAAGGCGGCCCCCUGGACAAAGACUGACGCUCAGGUGCGAAAGCGUGGGGAGCAAACAGGAUUAGAUACCCCGGUAGUCCUGUCUCUUAUACA